GUACUAGCUUCAGUAGUACAUACACUAAACUUAGAAUGAUACAGAAAGGAUUAGCAUGGCCCCUGUGCAAGAAUGACACCCAAAUUCCUGAACUGUUCUGUAUUUUC
ensembl:snRNA U6 U6 spliceosomal RNA